UGCAGUCGAACGCUGAAUCCUGGUGCUUGCACUGGGUGGAUGAGUGGCGAACGGGUGAGUAAUACGUGAGUGACCUGCCUUUGACUCUGGGAUAAGCCUGGGAAACUGGGUCUAAUACCGGAUGCGACUACUGCCCGCAUGGGCUGGUGGUGGAAAGGGUUAUGUACUGGUCUUAGAUGGGCUCACGGCCUAUCAGCUGGUUGGUGGGGUAAUGGCCUACCAAGGCGACGACGGGUAGCCGGCCUGAGAGGGUGACCGGCCACACUGGGACUGAGACACGGCCCAGACUCCUACGGGAGGCAGCAGUGGGGAAUAUUGCACAAUGGGCGCAAGCCUGAUGCAGCGACGCCGCGUGAGGGAUGACGGCCUUCGGGUUGUAAACCUCUUUCAGCAGGGAAGAAGCGGAAGUGACGGUACCUGCAGAAGAAGCGCCGGCUAACUACGUGCCAGCAGCCGCGGUAAUACGUAGGGCGCAAGCGUUGUCCGGAAUUAUUGGGCGUAAAGAGCUCGUAGGCGGCUUGUCGCGUCUGCUGUGAAAGCCCGGGGCUUAACUCCGGGUGUGCAGUGGGUACGGGCAGGCUAGAGUGCAGUAGGGGUAACUGGAAUUCCUGGUGUAGCGGUGAAAUGCGCAGAUAUCAGGAGGAACACCGAUGGCGAAGGCAGGUUACUGGGCUGUUACUGACGCUGAGGAGCGAAAGCAUGGGGAGCGAACAGGAUUAGAUACCCUGGUAGUCCAUGCCGUAAACGUUGGGCACUAGGUGUGGGGGACAUUCCACGUUUUCCGCGCCGUAGCUAACGCAUUAAGUGCCCCGCCUGGGGAGUACGGCCGCAAGGCUAAAACUCAAAGGAAUUGACGGGGGCCCGCACAAGCGGCGGAGCAUGCGGAUUAAUUCGAUGCAACGCGAAGAACCUUACCAAGGCUUGACAUACACCGGAUCGUUCCAGAAAUGGUUCUUCCCUUUUGGGCUGGUGUACAGGUGGUGCAUGGU
rnacentral:rRNA from 1 species